rnacentral:rRNA from 1 species
UCCUACGGGAGGCAGCAGUGGGGAAUCUUGCACAAUGGGGGAAACCCUGAUGCAGCGAUGCCGCGUGAGUGAAGAAGGCCCUUGGGUUGUAAAACUCUUUCGUCGGGGAAGAAAAUGACUGUACCCGAAUAAGAAGGUCCGGCUAACUUCGUGCCAGCAGCCGCGGUAAUACGAAGGGACCUAGCGUAGUUCGGAAUUACUGGGCUUAAAGAGCUCGUAGGUGGUUAAAAAAGUUGAUGGUGAAAUCCCAAGGCUCAACCUUGGAACUGCCAUCAAAACUUUUUAGCUAGAGUGUGAUAGAGGUAAGUGGAAUUUCUAGUGUAGAGGUGAAAUUCGUAGAUAUUAGAAAGAACACCAAAAGCGAAGGCAACUUACUGGGUCACUACUGACACUGAGGAGCGAAAGCAUGGGUAGCGAAGAGGAUUAGAUACCCUCGUAGUCCAUGCCGUAAACGAUGUGUGCUAGACGUUGGAAAUAUAUUUUUCAGUGUCGCAGCGAAAGCAUUAAGCACACCGCCUGGGGAGUACGACCGCAAGGUUAAAACUCAAAUGAAUUGACGG